rnacentral:rRNA from 1 species
UGAGGAAUAUUGGGUCAAUGGGCGCAGGCCUGAACCAGCCAAGUCGCGUGAGGGAUGACGGUCCUACGGAUUGUAAACCUCUUUUGUCGGGGAGUAACGUGCGGGACGCGUCCCGUAUUGAGAGUACCCGAAGAAAAAGCAUCGGCUAACUCCGUGCCAGCAGCCGCGGUAAUACGGAGGAUGCGAGCGUUAUCCGGAUUUAUUGGGUUUAAAGGGUGCGCAGGCGGCGCGCCAAGUCAGCGGUCAAAGUUCCGGGCUCAACCCGGUGUCGCCGUUGAAACUGGCGUGCUCGAGUGCGUGCGG